AGUGAACGCUGGCGGUAGGCCUAACACAUGCAAGUCGAACGGCAGGACGGUAAGCGCUUGCCCUUACUGGUGGCGAGUGGCGGACGGGUGACGCAUACAUAGGCUUCUUCUUUUUCGUGGGGGAUAACGUAAAACAACUUACGAUACUACCGCAUACGACCUACGGGUUAAAGCAAAGGUUCUUCACGCUUUUCGCGACUCAAAUAGCCGAAGUCGGAUUAGCUAGUUGGUUUGGUAAAGGCACACCAAGGCGACGAUCCGUAGCUGGUCUGAGAGGAUGAUCAGCCACACUGGAACUGAGACACGGUCCAGACUCCUACGGGAGGCAGCAGUGGGGAAUAUUGGACAAUGGGCGCAAGCCUGAUCCAGCCAUACCGCGUGAGUGAAGAAGGUCUUCGGGUUGUAAAGCCCUGUUGUUGGGGAAGAAAAGCAGUAUAUGAAAACGUCGCUGUUCUGACGGUACCCAAACAAUAAGCACCGGCUAACUACGUG
rnacentral:rRNA from 1 species